UACAGAGGUCCCAAGCGUUGUUCGGAUUUACUGGGCGUAAAGGGUGCGUAGGCGGUCGGGUAAGUCUGAUGUGAAAUCCCGUGGCUCAACCACGGAACUGCAUUGGAAACUAUCCGGCUAGAGGGUGCGAGGGGGGACUGGAAUUCUCGGUGUAGCAGUGAAAUGCGUAGAUAUCGAGAGGAACACCAGUGGCGAAAGCGAGUCCCUGGAGCAUUCCUGACGCUGAGGCACGAAAGCUAGGGGAGCAAACAGG
rnacentral:rRNA from 1 species